AAUGGGUCAGCGACUUAUAUUCUGUAGCAAGGUUAACCGAAUAGGGGAGCCGGAGGGAAACCGAGUCUUAAUUGGGCGUUAAGUUGCAGGGUAUAGACCCGAAACCCGGUGAUCUAGCCAUGGGCAGGUUGAAGGUUGGGUAACACUAACUGGAGGACCGAACCGACUAAUGUUGAAAAAUUAGCGGAUGACCUGUGGCUGGGGGUGAAAGGCCAAUCAAACCGGGAGAUAGCUGGUUCUCCCCGAAAGCUAUUUAGGUAGCGCCUCGUGAAUUCAUCUCCGGGGGUAGAGCACUGUUUCGGCUAGGGGGCCAUCCCGGCUUACCAACCCGAUGCAAACUGCGAAUACCGGAGAAUGUUAUCACGGGAGACACACGGCGGGUGCUAACGUCCGUCGUGAAGAGGGAAACAACCCAGACCGCCAGCUAAGGUCCCAAAGUCAUGGUUAAGUGGGAAACGAUGUGGGAAGGCCCAGACAGCCAGGAUGUUGGCUUAGAAGCAGCCAUCAUUUAAAGAAAGCGUAAUAGCUCACUGGUCGAGUCGGCCUGCGCGGAAGAUGUAACGGGGCUAAACCAUGCACCGAAGCUGCGGCAGCGACACUGUGUGUUGUUGGGUAGGGGAGCGUUCUGUAAGCCUGCGAAGGUGGCCUGUGAGGGUUGCUGGAGGUAUCAGAAGUGCGAAUGCUGACAUAAGUAACGAUAAAGCGGGUGAAAAGCCCGCUCGCCGGAAGACCAAGGGUUCCUGUCCAACGUUAAUCGGGGCAGGGUGAGUCGACCCCUAAGGCGAGGCCGAAAGGCGUAGUCGAUGGGAAACGGGUUAAUAUUCCCGUACUUGGUGUUACUGCGAAGGGGGGACGGAGAAGGCUAUGUUGGCCGGGCGACGGUUGUCCCGGUUUAAGCGUGUAGGUGUGUGUUCCAGGUAAAUCCGGUUCACUUUAACACUGAGGCGUGACGACGAGGCACUACGGUGCUGAAGCAACAAAUGCCCUGCUUCCAGGAAAAGCCUCUAAGCAUCAGGUAACAUCAAAUCGUACCCCAAACCGACACAGGUGGUCAGGUAGAGAAUACCAAGGCGCUUGAGAGAACUCGGGUGAAGGAACUAGGCAAAAUGGUGCCGUAACUUCGGGAGAAGGCACGCUGACACGUAGGUGAAGUGAUUUACUCAUGGAGCUGAAGUCAGUCGAAGAUACCAGCUGGCUGCAACUGUUUAUUAAAAACACAGCACUGUGCAAACACGAAAGUGGACGUAUACGGUGUGACGCCUGCCCGGUGCCGGAAGGUUAAUUGAUGGGGUCAGCGCAAGCGAAGCUCCUGAUCGAAGCCCCGGUAAACGGCGGCCGUAACUAUAACGGUCCUAAGGUAGCGAAAUUCCUUGUCGGGUAAGUUCCGACCUGCACGAAUGGCGUAAUGAUGGCCAGGCUGUCUCCACCCGAGACUCAGUGAAAUUGAACUCGCUGUGAAGAUGCAGUGUACCCGCGGCAAGACGGAAAGACCCCGUGAACCUUUACUAUAGCUUGACACUGAACAUUGAGCCUUGAUGUGUAGGAUAGGUGGGAGGCUUUGAAGUGUGGACGCCAGUCUGCAUGGAGCCGACCUUGAAAUACCACCCUUUAAUGUUUGAUGUUCUAACGUGGACCCGUUACCCGGGUUGCGGACAGUGUCUGGUGGGUAGUUUGACUGGGGCGGUCUCCUCCUAAAGAGUAACGGAGGAGCACGAAGGUUGGCUAAUCCUGGUCGGACAUCAGGAGGUUAGUGCAAUGGCAUAAGCCAGCUUGACUGCGAGCGUGACGGCGCGAGCAGGUGCGAAAGCAGGUCAUAGUGAUCCGGUGGUUCUGAAUGGAAGGGCCAUCGCUCAACGGAUAAAAGGUACUCCGGGGAUAACAGGCUGAUACCGCCCAAGAGUUCAUAUCGACGGCGGUGUUUGGCACCUCGAUGUCGGCUCAUCACAUCCUGGGGCUGAAGUAGGUCCCAAGGGUAUGGCUGUUCGCCAUUUAAAGUGGUACGCGAGCUGGGUUUAGAACGUCGUGAGACAGUUCGGUCCCUAUCUGCCGUGGGCGCUGGAGAACUGAGGGGGGCUGCUCCUAGUACGAGAGGACCGGAGUGGACGCAUCACUGGUGUUCGGGUUGUCAUGCCAAUGGCACUGCCCGGUAGCUAAAUGCGGAAGAGAUAAGUGCUGAAAGCAUCUAAGCACGAAACUUGCCCCGA
rnacentral:rRNA from 1 species